UACGGGGGGGGCAAGCGUUGUCCGGAAUUAUUGGGCGUAAAGAGCUCGUAGGCGGUGUGUCGCGUCGGCCGUGAAAACCUGCAGCUUAACUGUGGGCUUGCGGUCGAUACGGGCAUCACUGGAGUUCGGCAGGGGAGACUGGAAUUCCUGGUGUAGCGGUGAAAUGCGCAGAUAUCAGGAGGAACACCGGUGGCGAAGGCGGCAUCCUGGACCAACACUGACACUGAGGAGCGAAAGCCAGGGGAGCAAACGGG
rnacentral:rRNA from 1 species